rnacentral:rRNA from 1 species
CCUACGGGAGGCAGCAGUGGGGAAUAUUGCACAAUGGGGGAAACCCUGAUGCAGCGACGCCGCGUGAGUGAUGGAGUAUUUCGGUAUGUAAAGCUCUAUCAGCAGGGAAGAAAAUGACGGUACCUGACUAAGAAGCCCCGGCUAACUACGGGCCAGCAGCCGCGGGAAUACGUAGGGGGCAAGCGUUAUCCGGAUUUACUGGGUGGAAAGGGAGCGUAGGCGGCUGUGCAAGCCAGAUGUGAAAGCCCGGGGCUCAACCCCGGGACUGCAUUUGGAACUGGGUGGCUGGAGUGUCGGAGAGGUAGGCGGAAUUCCUAGUGUAGCGGUGAAAUGCGUAGAUAUUAGGAGGAACACCAGUGGCGAAGGCGGCCUGCUGGACGAUGACUGACGUUGAGGCUCGAAAGCGUGGGGAGCAAACAGGAUUAGAUACCCCUGUAGUC